rnacentral:misc_RNA from 1 species
UAAACUUUCAGAUGUUGGACGUCAAAUGGCCAGGCUACCCCUUGAUCCAGUCUACUCUAAGGCUCUCAUUAUUGCUAGCCAAUUUGGCUGCUUGAAAGAAAUGUUGAUCUGUGUUGCAAUGCUUUCAGUGGAAUCUAUUUUCUAUGCACCACGUGAAAAGUUGGAAGAGUCACGAAACGCAUUGAAAAGUUUUGCAAGUCCAG